GCAGGGCUCAGUUUGGUCGUGCAUAUAACAAAAGUUUGGAAUAAAACGAAGAGGAUUAACAUGGCCUCUACACAAAGAGAACAUACAAAUUCAUGAAGUGCUCUGUAUUUUU
ensembl:snRNA U6 U6 spliceosomal RNA